rnacentral:rRNA from 1 species
GGUGUUAGCGGCGGACGGGUGAGUAACACUGUGCGGUAACCUCGACUGUAAGACUGGGAUAACUCCGGGAAACCGGGGCUAAUACCGGAUGGUUGUUUGAACCGCAUGGUUCAAACAUAAAAGGUGGCUUCGGCUACCACUUACAGAUGGACCCGCGGCGCAUUAGCUAGUUGGUGAGGUAACGGCUCACCAAGGCGACGAUGCGUAGCCGACCUGAGAGGGUGAUCGGCCACACUGGGACUGAGACACGGCCCAGACUCCUACGGGAGGCAGCAGUAGGGAAUCUUCCGCAAUGGACGAAAGUCUGACGGAGCAACGCCGCGUGAGUGAUGAAGGUUUUCGGAUCGUAAAGCUCUGUUGUUAGGGAAGAACAAGUACCGUUCGAAUAGGGCGGUACCUUGACGGUACCUAACCAGAAAGCCACGGCUAACUACGUGCCAGCAGCCGCGGUAAUACGUAGGUGGCAAGCGUUGUCCGGAAUUAUUGGGCGUAAAGGGCUCGCAGGCGGUUUCUUAAGUCUGAUGUGAAAGCCCCCGGCUCAACCGGGGAGGGUCAUUGGAAACUGGGGAACUUGAGUGCAGAAGAGGAGAGUGGAAUUCCACGUGUAGCGGUGAAAUGCGUAGAGAUGUGGAGGAACACCAGUGGCGAAGGCGACUCUCUGGUCUGUAACUGACGCUGAGGAGCGAAAGCGUGGGGAGCGAACAGGAUUAGAUACCCUGGUAGUCCACGCCGUAAACGAUGAGUGCUAAGUGUUACGGGGUUUCCGCCCCUUAGUGCUGCAGCUAACGCAUUAAGCACUCCGCCUGGGGGAGUACGGUCGCAAGACUGAACUCAAGGAAUUGACGGGGGCCCGCACAAGCGGUGGAGCAUGUGG